UACAGAGGGUGCGAGCGUUUGUCCGGAAUCACUGGGCGUAAAGGGCGCGUAGGCGGCUUGAUAAGCGUGCGGUGAAAGCCCGGGGCUCAACCCCGGGUCGGCCGUGCGAACUGUCGAGCUGGAGCACUGUAGAGGCAGGUGGAAUUCCAGGUGUAGCGGUGGAAUGCGUAGAGAUCCGGAAGAACACCGGUGGCGAAGGCGGCCUGCUGGGCAGUGGCUGACGCUGGAGGCGCGACAGCGUGGGGAGGCAAACAGG
rnacentral:rRNA from 1 species